rnacentral:lncRNA from 1 species
UGACCUGUUUUUCUUCUUUGCCGCCAGAAAGUUUGACAACGAACCCUGGAGAGUUCCUGUUGCAACGCCAAGAAUGGAAAGCUCUGCGGCCUUGUAGAAUAGAGAAUGGAUCCUCUUCUGCAGGUCAAACUCUCUCAGUGGAUAGCUCAUCUCAAAAACGUUGUUUGGCAGCUUCUGCAAUGUAUUUUGCAAGUCGAACCGGAACGUGUUCCCGUAGGAACGACACGGAGCCAGCAACCAAACAGCCGCUGCAUUGCAUGCUGAUACGGUAAGAACAUUUAUGAGCGCAAGAUCCCAUUCCUCUUUUAUUCUGCAAACAACAGAGUAAACAAUUCAAGACAAUGAAAUAAGAAAGCUACAAAACCUAGAGAUGUAGAGACAGUUUAUGUUACCUAUCCUUACGAGUCUUAACUUCCCACCAAACCGAGCAUCCAACCGUGGCGGCUUGCUCCAAGAGAAGUCUAUAGAGAAAUGAAGGAUCCGCCAACAUCCUACACAAAAGACAAGUCACAUAGUCAAGACUGUGAAGAAGAAGAAGAAGUCUACAUCGAGCUAUGGUUCUCAGAAGAUACAUUACCUGCCAACAAAGGCUCUCGACAAUCCUUGAGGAAGAGCACGGGAGAUGAAUCUAGUUGUUGUAGGACGAGCGUUAAUAGCAAGGAACUUAACCAUUUGUGCUGAGCUGACCAAACCCUGCAUACAAGUUUCCAUAAGUGUUAAAGAUCUCAGCAUCCCAAAACCGUAAAGCUUCAAGGACAUGUUACCAUUUCAUACGCUUGACGGAGACCAGCAGGCAAAUCCAUCAUUGUCUUUUGCCACUCGUUCAACACAGCAUCAACGAACUUCCUAUCAAAAAGCUGGAAAGAAGAAACAUAAAUGUCAGUAAAGAUCAACAAAACACAAACGUAAAAGAUCUCUUUUACCUCUGCGAGGAACAUCCUACGCCUAAAGAGACCACCUUCAUCUCCAUCAUCGUCAUCAUCAAAUUCGUCAAAGUAAUCAUCAUCAUCACCAUCAUCGUCACCUCCAUCGCCACCACCGAAAUUGACACUCUUCCCAAUGUCUCCACCACCUCCUCCAGUUGCAAUCUGCAAAAUGAAAAACUCUUACCAUCUCGCAGUUUGGUGAAUCCACUUCACUUCCCACUCUUUCUCUGGCAACAAAAACUUAAGUAUGCCUCAAAAUGAAAACACCACCACUUCACUGUUUGCUCUUCAACGGUCUCCGAAAAUUGUUGACAAUUUUUAGAGGGUUAGUUAAGAGGCAGAAGGUGCAGCCACCUUCUUCCGUACAAUCCUCUUUCGCCUAGCCUUUGGAGGUGGAGAAUCCGAAGCCGAGUCCUGUUGCUUCAUACCAAGUAGCCCUGAGACUAUUGCAUUCUUUGAGAUGAACCAUCUUGAAGCUGGCUUUCCUGCUGCUGCUGCUUCCUCUGAGGGUCGGUUGUAUGCUUUUGCCAGCAGAUCAUCAGACUGAGCCAGCGGGUCUGCCUCCACACCUAGCCAUACUUGUCUUGAUCUCUCCCCUAACUGAACGUUCAUAAUCCUGUUCCACAUCCAAUCCCAUGUUCAUUAUACAAAUCCUUCCAAGCCAUUAGAAAAAGGUUUCCUAAGGGGUGAAAGAGAAGAAUAAUACCUCAUGGCAGUGCCAAAGAAGAGUGCUACUCCAAUGACGUCAAAGUGGUUGCUCAUCGCUCUUUCGAAUCCACAUAAGAGCUGGUAUCUCAUGUUUGCAUAUAACCCAAGGAAUGCGCCAUAACCGAGAGCGUUUGUUGUGAUUGAUGGAACCGUCACAGAUACUCUGCCAGAACAACGAUUCAAAAAGUUAAUAAUCAACCAUGAGCUGAAAGAAAAGUGAAUGCAGAGAAUGUGAUGACCUGUUUUUCUUCUUUGCCGCCAGAAAGUUUGACAACGAACCCUGGAGAGUUCCUGUUGCAACGCCAAGAAUGGAAAGCUCUGCGGCCUUGUAGAAUAGAGAAUGGAUCCUCUUCUGCAGGUCAAACUCUCUCAGUGGAUAGCUCAUCUCAAAAACGUUGUUUGGCAGCUUCUGCAAUGUAUUUUGCAAGUCGAACCGGAACGUGUUCCCGUAGGAACGACACGGAGCCAGCAACCAAACAGCCGCUGCAUUGCAUGCUGAUACGGU